rnacentral:rRNA from 1 species
AUUAAACGCUGGCGGCAUGCCUAAUACAUGCAAGUCGAACGAAGGCUUCGGCCUUAGUGGCGCACGGGUGCGUAACGCGUGGGAAUCUACCCUUGGGUUCGGAAUAACAGUUAGAAAUGACUGCUAAUACCGGAUGAUGACGUAAGUCCAAAGAUUUAUCGCCCAAGGAUGAGCCCGCGUAAGAUUAGCUAGUUGGUGAGGUAAAGGCUCACCAAGGCUACGAUCUUUAGCUGGUCUGAGAGGAUGAUCAGCCACACUGGGACUGAGACACGGCCCAGACUCCUACGGGAGGCAGCAGUAGGGAAUAUUGGACAAUGGGCGAAAGCCUGAUCCAGCAAUGCCGCGUGAGUGAUGAAGGCCUUAGGUUGUAAAGCUCUUUACCCGAGAUGAUAAUGACAGUAUCGGGAGAAUAAGCUCCGGCUAACUCCGUGCCAGCAGCCGCGGUAAU